rnacentral:snRNA from 1 species
CAAAGUGUAGUAUCUGUUCUUAUCAGCUUAAUAUCUGAUAUGUUUCUUAUAUAGAAACAAAAUAUUAAAUUGAUUUUUGGAAUUGGGAGUGGCAAAAGAAGCUUGCUUCUUGCACUCCAUGCAUCAACCUGGUAUUAUAGUACUUCCAGGAAUGGUGCAAUU